UACGUAGGGUGCGAGCGUUGUCCGGAAUUAUUGGGCGUAAAGAGCUUGUAGGCGGUUUGUCGCGUCUGCCGUGAAAAUUCGAUGCUCAACCUCGAACUUGCGGUGGGUACGGGCAGACUAGAGUGUGGUAGGGGAGACUGGAAUUCCUGGUGUAGCGGUGAAAUGCGCAGAUAUCAGGAGGAACACCGAUGGCGAAGGCAGGUCUCUGGGCCACUACUGACGCUGAGAAGCGAAAGCAUGGGGAGCGAACAGG
rnacentral:rRNA from 1 species